GUGCUCACUUUGGCAGCACAUAUUUUAAAAUUUGAACGAUACAGAGAAGAUUAGCAUGGCUCCUGUAUAAGGAUGACAUGCAAAUUUGUGAAGCCUUCCAUAUUUUC
rnacentral:snRNA from 1 species